CUGUGUCAUAACAUUUUCAAAUGCCACUUAAUUUACUGAUUGCACUUGGAGGGGUCCAGAAUAAAGGUUGUGUCCAAUGAUUUUCUCCCAAUGAAUGUUACAUUGUAUAUUUGGUAUUGUCAUGACUGUUGUACAGAUAGUGACUAUUUUUUAAGUGUACAAUUUUACAUUACAUAAAGUUUACCAUGUACGAAUCACAGUAAAAUGUUAUUUUGAUUUU